AUGUAUCUGAUGGCAUCCCUGCCUUCCCACGGCGCCUUCCAUGCACCUCUUUGGUAUUCUUGCUCGAGGAGCAAAACCAUGGUGAUGGCCACGGCUUCCAAGGCCAAGGAUGGAGUUCCCGGAAAGGCCUUCAGUCCUCGCAAGGCGUCUCAUAGAGACCGAGUAGCUCACUCAUUGCCACCUGAAAAGAGAGAGAUUUUUGAUUCGCUUAACAGUUGGGCAGAGGACAACAUUCUGGUCCUCUUGAAGCCGGUUGAAAGAUCCUGGCAGCCACAGGACUACCUGCCAGACCCUUCCUUGGAUAGAUUUUAUGACGAAGUCAAGGAGCUGAGGGAGCGAGCCGAGGAGAUCCCCGACGACUACUUGGUAUGUCUGGUUGGAGACAUGGUCACUGAGGAAGCACUCCCUACCUAUCAGAAAAUGCUCAAUAUCCUUGAUGGCGGUGUCCGCGACGAAACUGGCAGCAGCCCAACCAGCUGGGCUGUCUGGACGAGGGCAUGGACGGCCGAGGAGAACCGACACGGUGAUCUCAUGAACAAGUAUAUUUAUCUCACUGGGAGGGCUGAUAUGAGGCAGGUGGAGAAGACCAUACAGUAUCUGGUUGGUGCUGGAAUUGAUCCAAAAACCGAGGCCAACCCCUAUGAGUUUUUCAUUUACACAUCUUUCCAAGAGAGGGCAACAUUCAUAUCUCACGGCAACACUGCAAGGCACGCCAGGAAGUACGGGGACUUGAAGCUGGCCCAGAUAUGCGGCACCAUCGCGGCUGACGAAAGGCGCCAUGAGCUUGCCUAUACCAAGAUAGUGGAGAAGCUCUUCGUGGUCGAUCCCGACUACACGGUCCUGGCCUUCGCCAGCAUUAUGAAGAAGAAGAUCACGAUGCCUGCCCACCUGAUGUAUGAUGGGCAGGAGGACAACCUCUUUGAGCACUUCAGCGCGGUGGCACAGAGGCUGGGCGUUUACACCGCCAUGGACUACGCCGACAUCCUCGAGUUCCUGGUCAAGAGGUGGAACGUCGCCGGCCUCACUGGGUUGUCCGGUGAAGGGCGGCGCGCUCAGGAUUACCUAUGCUCCCUAGGACCAAGGUUUAGGAAGCUGGUGGAGCGAGCUCAGGGGAGCGGGAAGCAGUUGCCUGUUGUUCCUUUCAGCUGGAUCUAUGGCCGGAAAGUGCAGCUUUGA
rnacentral:rRNA from 1 species